CAGAGGGUGCGAGCGUUAAUCGGAAUUACUGGGCGUAAAGCGCGCGUAGGCGGCUUUGCAAGUCGGGUGUGAAAUCCCCAGGCUUAACCUGGGAACUGCAUUCGAGACAGCAUUGCUAGAGUAUGGGAGAGGGAAGUGGAAUUUCCGGUGUAGCGGUGAAAUGCGUAGAUAUCGGAAGGAACAUCAGUGGCGAAAGCGACUUCCUGGACCAAUACUGACGCUCAUGUGCGAAAGCGUGGGGAGCAAACAGGAUUAGAUACCCUGGUAGUCCACGCCAUAAACGAUGAGAACUGGAUGUCGGGAGGGUCUGCCUCUCGGUGUCGUAGCUAACGCGUUAAGUUCUCCGCCUGGGGAGUACGGCCGCAAGGUUG
rnacentral:rRNA from 1 species